GGGCGCAGCCAAUCAGCGCCUAGGGCGUCGCGCGUGGCACCGCCCCUCGCCCGUCACGCCUCCUUUGGCACGUGCCGGCCUCGCACCCUCCGCGGGAGACUAGAUCCACGCGAGACUAUAUCCACGCGAGACUAGCGCCUCAGCGAGGCGACUUCACGCGCGACGGCCAGGCAGCCUCUGUCGGAGGCCCUCGAGCGGGUACCCGGGCCUCUCACUCUUCUCGCCUCGGGUUCUCGCCCAGAGUAUUCAGGACGCGGAGAGGUGGCGAGGGUGGUCAGGACACGGCCUGCCGGGCUGCGGCUCGGCCUGCCGCCUGAGGUGAAUGGACCUUCCUGCCGCGCCUUCGGACUCCGGCCCAGCGCCCUGGACACGGACUGAGUGUACCGGAGAAGGGGAGCCCAGGAGAUUCCUUGGAAUGAAACCAAUGGGAGAUGAGGGUUUGGAGGAGUCUCAUCAGAGCAGAUGGGCCAGCAGCAGCCAGAAAGCUUGUUGCCUUUGGCCGAGAGCACCGUCCUGGAUCUGGACGCCUUAUAGGAAACUGAGGCUUGGAAUUCUCCUACCCUGACCAUUUUAUUUCAAUUGCCAACCCCUGGCAACCCGCUCCAGUACUGUUGCCUGGAAAAUCCCAUGGACAGAGGAGCCCUGUAGGCUACAGUCCAUGGGGUAGCAAAGAGUUGGACACGGCUGAGCGACCUCAC